AGCUGGUGGAGAGGGAUGCUUUCGGGGUGAACACAGUUUAUCAAACUUGUUCCCCUUAACGCCGCUAUCUGUCAGCAGCCCAGGUUCCCAGCUUGAUAACACAGUAAAGGUAAAGGUAAAGGUAAAGGGACCCCUGACCAUUAGGUCCAGUCAUGGCCGGCUCUGGGGUUGUGGCGCUCAUCUCACUUUAUUGGCCGAGGGAGCCGGCGUACAGCUUCCGGGUCAUGUGGCCAGCAUGACUAAGCCGCUUCUGGUGAACCAGAGCAGCGCACGGAAACGUCGUUUACCUUUCCGCCGGAGCGGUACCUAUUUAUCUACUUACACUUUGACGUACUUUCAAACUGCUAGGUUGGCAGGAGCAAGGACCGAGCAACGGGAGCUCACCUCGUCGCAGGGAUGCGAACCGCCAACCUUCUGAUCAGCAAGUCCUAGGCUCUGUGGUUUAAUCCACAGUGCCACCCGUGUCCCGCUAACACCGUAAGCGUAGGUAAUUAAAAAGGAGAAUUUAUGGCAAAAACAAACAGAUAGCUCCGGAUGGCUCUAACACGGCCGCCGGCAUUAUCACUCAAGAUGACCCUUCUGAAGACUCCUUCCGGUAUCUACAGAAUAUAUGGAACCGUCACCCUUUGCAUCUCGUUUUCCUUCUGAUCUAGCAGCCCUCCCAUUCGCCGACUCUUCAGACUUAUUGGAUUAGCUCCAGCCUCUUCCUUUUCUGACCAACUAUCUCUGUGCGUAUUCACUCCUGUUUGUGCUUCUUGAGAGAUUUGACUGCGUUCCAGCCCGCUCUCCGCUACAGCCUUAUCAUCCUGCCGUUCGAGGUCAGAAGGAAGCGAAGCCUGCAGCUGUCGGCUCUCCUCUGCCUGAGUGAAAUCCCAGCCUCUCUGUUCCUGGCUGCUUUUUGCAGCCGGCUGCAAAACUUCGCUCGAAGCUAGCGCAUUCAUGACACGAUCCUUUAUAGUUUUAAGAGUUCAAAGAUGUGGUCAGCCUUUAUAACCAAGCUCCUUCCUAACAGGGGGCUAAGGAAUCGUCCUCCAACACAGAUCGUUGUAGGCUUGGAACCUCAGAUCUCUUGCGUCCUCAAGAAACAGCGUACCCUCCAACUGUCCCCAUUUUCCAGGGAACGCCCCAGAAUUACUAAAGCCAUCCCACCUUGAUUUGAUCCCAGAAUGUCCCUGUUUUCCCUGCCACUGCAGCUGCCACUGAGCUUGAUGAGCAUGAGUUGGUGCUAAUCCCAUGUGGCGGCAGUGGCUGACAUCCCAUGGUGUCUCCCUGGCCACCGCUGCCAGCCUUGUCCCUUGGACAGCUUAUAAGCAGCUGAUGAGGAACAUGGGAGGAAGUGGAGAGAUUGCCUCUGCCAUAUUAUGUGGGCCACCUUUCUGCAAAGAUUUGUUUUGAUUGCAACACCUUUUGCGUGUGUGUGUGAUUGGUUUGUUGUGGUUUUGUUCUUGUUUUUUAUUAUUACAGGGAGGUUUUUUGUUUCGUUUUAAAGUUUUGUUGGAAGCUGCCCAGAGUGGCUGGGGCAACCCAGUCAGAUGGGCAGCCUAUAAAUAUUAUUAUAAUUAUUAUUAUCUUUAUUGAAAGUUAAAAAAUACAUAAUUACAUGUGCACUAAAUAUGGUGGGACGUAAAUAAAAGACAGAAAAAGAAAAAAAGAAACAGAACCCGUGUAGAAGGGAAAAUAAAAUUGGGGGGAACCCAAAACUGUAUACAUUAUUGUACUUCACCAGAUCUUAACCUAUUACAGUAUUUUUAAGAACAGAUUCCAAAUAUCAUUGAAUUUGUCCAUGGCAAGUCUGUGUUUAACAGGCAAGUUGUUCGUAUGUUGCGAGUUUGUAUAAGGCUUCAAUCCAAUCGUAGAAG
rnacentral:lncRNA from 1 species